rnacentral:lncRNA from 1 species
CUGGCUCUUCGGUUGGUGUGCGCUCUUCAUGGUUCUUUUAUGGACGGAAUUUAAAAGGCCGCAAGGUCGUGCGGUUCAAGGAGACAUACAUAAAAGUGAUAUUUACUUUAGCUGGUUUGACGAUUACGGCUAAAAUAUACUGUCAACAAUUUGAGGAGAUAAUGUAAUAACUCCGCAGUUUUAGUGAAAGAGCUAAACCGUUUCUAUUAUACAAGAACACUCGACCUCAAACUGCAAGAACCGUGGUGACACAAGUGCAGGAGUUACAGUUGGAGGCUCGAAGUCUAACACUGUACUUGCCAGGAACUAUUCCCAGGAAAAUUUCAACGACUUCUCAAUAGGAAAGUGGUUUAAAUCUUAGCAGAACGUCGAAAUCGUCUUUUGAGGCUUCCUAAACAUAAUCCCAGACCUCUACCGCAGUGGGAUAAACUACCAUCAAAAUAUGAGAAUAUCACAGGAGCUCGGAUAGAUUUGUGGAGUCUGCCCCCCCCCCCCCCCCCUUCUGUUUCAUAAGGUGUCUCUGGCCAGCCAAAGCUGCGAGACAGUAGAUCCCCAGAGUGACAACUUGACAUUUGGCUUUCGACUCUCUUUCUAUCGUUGCUGAUGAUUAAACUCAACGAAGAAGCAGUGUUCAAUGUGGCUGCGUACCCCAUUCAUAACGCGUUCUCGGUAAGUCGCAUAGAGCACAAAAAUCGUAGAUACAAAACAAUCAGUAAUCAGUCAUAUCAUAUCAGUAGGUCAUCAUACUAUGAAAAAUAUAGGAAUUGUAUUCUUUUCAUCGGUAGUACAGUAAUAAUAAUAGUAGUAAUGUCAAUCGAUUGUAGUAAAUACUAUGCUAUCUUGACGUGAAACAGGAGUAUGUAAAUGUUAAAUAUAUAUAGAUAGGCAACCAGCGAGCCAGCAGGUGUCGGUUGAAGGAGCUGGCGGUCGUCGCAUGCAUAUUUAUGUCCUUAAUUCUUAUCUUUUGGCUUUAUAAUCACCUAUUCUUGAAUGAAACAAACAAAAAAAAACAAAACGAAUCUACCAAAAAAGAAUACUGAAAUAUACAGGAACAACGCAGACGAUACAGACGGAUAAAAAGUUUGAUCCUUGCUUUCUAUGGGUAUGAACAAAAAGAAAACACUUGUGGUAGUCAUAAUAAUAAAUAAUAAUAAUAAUAGUUAUUUUCAAAAUGAAUGCAAAAGUGGUCUGAGUGUGCUCGCACAACAGUCGCAAACUAGGUGUUUGACCCUGCACUUGUUGGCUUUUCGGAAACGGGCGAACUAAUCUGAUUUAUAUGAAUAAUACAAAUAUAAUCAAGAAUAGAUCAUCACUAUCAUAAACAGUGUAUAUACUAUUCACGAUCAUAUAUAUAUAUAUAUAUAUAUAUAUAUAUAUAUAUAUAUAGAUCGUGUGUGUAUAUAUAUAUCGUCGUGAAUGAGUCGUUAAGCGAAAAGACGGUUUUUUCUCAGCAAUGGCAACGAUAAAAAUGGCAAAAAUCAGUCUGCUCGUCAUUGUGAAUAUAAUAUGAAUAUUAAUAAUAAAUAAAAAAACAGGCAACACGAAUAAAACCACGUAGUAAGAACAAACACAAUGGCAAGCAUGAAUGCACACUUACGUUCAGUGUGUGUUCCGUGUGUUCUCUCAGCUGUCCGUCCUACACAGGUGAAUUCAUCAGAUACAAUAUGUAUAUGUGUGUAUAUAUAUUGUUGUUCAAAACGAUACCGGAAUAACGUAUCGCUCGUCCUUCGAAUGUUCAAUAUUAUUGGUUUAUGAUUCGUUAUCCCAACAAAUCGAAUGUACCGAACAGCUGCACUGCAGUGUGCACAGAGAAAUGCACGUACAUCAUAGGCGCCUAUGUCUGUUGUACUGUUCCCAUUUUUAAUAUGAUAACUGCCGCCAUCAUCAUUACUCAAUAAUUAAUAUCACUCGCAUUUUAAUCAAGUAAUAGAUAUAGUAAUAAUUCGUAUCUGAUUCGAACUACGCAUGCAUAAUUCCAAUUCACCCGUCUGAACAGCACAUUAGCACUUACUGACUUGACUGUGCAGAACCAAUGCUAAUUUUUAACCAGAAUCGGUUUUCGACAACACUGGACGACACUGCUGUGAGCCUACUAUAUUCGUACUGCAGUUUCCGGUUACUUAUGUUUUUAUCGAUACCCUCAGAUCCAUACCUUUUUACUAUAAUAGUUCUUUAUCGAGAGAGGACGUUGUUGUUUGCAAUACGACGUGGUCGUAUGGUCACGUGUCGACAACGAAACACCAUCAACAUAAAGUAAAUGCGCACCUAUUCAGCCUGACACAAUUCACGCUUAAAAGAUCAGCGGCAGUAUUCCACUGUACUAAAUAUAUAUAGAUAUGCAUUCGCGUGGCAUCAUCAACAUAUCAAUAGCUAUUGUGAUAAAGUUACUUGUCAUUUU